AUGGCGGCUGCCUGGCCCGCGGGCCGGGCUUCCCCAGCAGCCGGGCCUCCGGGCCUUCUCCGCACUCUGUGGCUCGUGAUGGUCACCGAGGGACACUGUGGGGCUGCUGCCUCUGGCGCUGUCGGGGGCGAGGAGAGGUGUGAGGACCUCAGGGUGGGACAAUAUAUUUGUAAAAAGAACCAAAAAUAAAUGAUGCUACGCAAGAACCAGUUAAUUGUACAAACUACACAGCUCAUGUUCAAUGUUUUCCAGCACCCAAAAUAACUUAUAAAGGAUUUGAGUGGUAAUGAAACACAUUUUACUGGAAGUGAAGUCGGUUUUCUCAAGCCCAUAACUUGCCGAAAUGUGAAUGGCUAUUCGUACAAAGUGGCAGUUGCAUUAUCUCUCUUUUUGGGAUGGCUGGGAGCAGAUCGAUUUUACCUCGGAUAUCCUGCCUUACGCUUGUUAAAUUUUUGCACCGUAGGAUUUUGCGGAAUUGGGAGCCUAAUUGAUUUCAUUCUUAUUUCAAUGCAGAUUGUUGGACCUUCAGAUGGAAGUAGUUACAUUAUAGACUAUUAUGGAACCAGGCUUACAAGACUCAGCAUUACUAAUGAAACAUUUAGAAAAACCUAGCUGUACCCAUAA
rnacentral:lncRNA from 1 species